UACAGAGGGUGCGAGCGUUUAAUCGGAGUUACUGGGCGUAAAGGGCGCGUAGGCGGUUAUAUAAGUGAGAUGUGAAAUCCCUGGGCUUAACCUAGGAACUGCAUCUCAUACUGUAUGACUGGAGUAUUGUAGAGGGUAGUGGAAUUUCCGGUGUAGCGGUGAAAUGCGUAGAGAUCGGAAGGAACACCAGUGGCGAAGGCGGCUACCUGGACAAAUACUGACGCUGAGGCGCGAGAGCGUGGGGAG
rnacentral:rRNA from 1 species